rnacentral:lncRNA from 1 species
CCCACUGCAGUCCUCUUCCCAGGGUCAAGGCCAGCGUGCCUUUCCUUUGGAAGGAAUACUGAGCCUGUUCAUCUCAGUUGCUCAGUUGUGUCCGACUCUGCGACCCCAUGGACUGUAGCAUGCCAGGCUUCCCUGUAGUAACCCUCUUAAUCUGAAUUACUGGAUGAGUUUUCAGGGUCAGGCCGUCGUGGAGCCAUGAGGCCAGGUCACGCCCGCCCACCGCUGCCGACCUUCGCAUCCCUGGAGAUCUGAAGCCGGCCCGGCGGGACCCAGCCGAGCCCCCCGGAGGCCAUGGCCGAGCGGCACCA